AAAAAAAAUGUGUAAUGAAAAUAGUUGAAGUCAACCAAACUCCCCAUCUAUGCACUUUCGCCGACAGAGACAUUGCAAUUGGCGAGGAACUCCGAUAUGAUUAUGGAGUACCAACACUUCCAUGGAGAAAGGCAACACAAUGACUACUAGAUCUACGGACAGCCAGGAACCAGGACAAACAACAUCCAUACACACGGAAGAAGUCAAUGAGACGAAAUGUACGGAACAAAAAAGGG